rnacentral:rRNA from 1 species
CCUACGGGUGGCAGCAGUCGAGAAUCAUUCACAAUGGGGGAAACCCUGAUGCUGCGACGCCGCGUGGGGGAAUGAAGGUCUUCGGAUUGUAAACCCCUGUCAUGUGGGAGCAAAUUAAAAAGAUAGUACCAUAAGAGGAAGAGAUGGCUAACUCUGUGCCAGCAGCCGCGGUAAUACGGAGGUCGCAAGCGUUGUUCGGAAGCACUGGGCGUAAAGCGUGCGGAGGCGGGUUGGUAAGUCGUGUGUGAAAGGCGCGGGCUCAACCCGCGGACUGCACAUGAAACUGGGAGACUAGAGUAAUGGAGAGGGAAGCGGAAUUCUUGGUGUAGCGGUGAAAUGCGUAGAUAUCGAGAGGAACACUGGUGGCGAAGGCGGGUUCCUGGACAUUAACUGACGCUGAGGCGCGAAGGCCAGGGGAGCGAAAGGGAUUAGAUACCCGAGUAGUC